rnacentral:lncRNA from 1 species
UAUUUCCAUACAACUAAUAAUUUAAUUGAGUUCUUAUGCUACACAAAAUACAAUAACAAUGGUUUUUAAUCCACACACAUCUAGUAUUCGUAUGCAUAAAAAGGACGAAAGAUACCAGAGGGACAGUCAAACUCACGAAUCGAAAAUAAACUGACAACGCCAUGGCUUAAAAUGAAAAAGAAAAACAGACAAACAAUAGUACACAUGACACACCAUAGAAAACUAAAGAAUAAGCAACACGACCCC